rnacentral:lncRNA from 1 species
UGCAGAUAUUAGCACGGGACUGUUUUCGGCGCUACACCAGAGAACUCCAGCCGUAAGUUAGGAGCUUUUUACACACAGCUGAGCCUAAUAAUAAACUAACUGCGCUUACUGAGGAAAGCUGAGAGUCUCACAGCAUAAAAUCACUAAAACAGAAUGUGACAGAGGCCAGUUUUUGAAAAGCCCAUUCAAAUCCCGUAUUGACUUGGACGGCUUAGACACGGAACCCCAAAGGAGCCCCAAAUAUGGGCAUAAACAACAUGGCUCGGACUACAAAAUUACAACAGGACUUCAGUGGUCUAUGAGCACAACAAGUGGACAGUGGGAUUUUCCAAGACCACACGCUCUCCUCCGCGACCUUUCACCCCGUAUCUUUGUAUCCAUGGCAACAACACUGACCGGGAAGACAGGAAGCAGAGCCACAUCAUUAAAGCGGGAAAGAGGGAAAAAACGGUAAACAAGUUUCAAGGACUGCGGCGAACGACUGUAGUGCGGUGCUUCACUGUUUCCUAAUAAGCCCCUGUCAAUACCAUGACUACUUAAUGCACAAUUACACCAUCACACUCGACAGCCAGGGCAGCACCAGCCUCUGAGAGGAGGGAGGAGAGACACUACUGUGAAGAAUUCCUCACAAUACCUUCACUCAUAAACACCAGCAGAAGAACAGAGCACUAACAUAAGCCCUGAUCUCAUUUCAGUCCAGUCAAUAUCACAAUAAUUUUCCUUAACUGUGUUUCAUAUUAAUCAAACUUACACAAAUCCUAUUUUCCUACGCUAUCUUAAUCAUUUAUAUUUUAAUUUUUUAUUUCCUAUCAUGCAUGCAUGUGUCCAUCCUGUUACAGCAAGCUGUGUGAAAAUUGGGAUUUAAUGAAAACAUUCAUGUUUUGUUUAAAAGUUUGGACACACUUUAAAUUCAGUGGUUUAAAAA